AAUAACAGGUCUGUGAUGCC
rnacentral:ncRNA from 4 species